GAUGAACGCUGGCGGCGUGCCUAAUACAUGCAAGUCGAGCGAACGGACGAGAAGCUUGCUUUUCUGAUGUUAGCGGCGGACGGGUGAGUAACACGUGGAUAACCUACCUAUAAGACUGGGAUAACUUCGGGAAACCGGAGCUAAUACCGGAUAAUAUUUUGAACCGCAUGGUUCAAAAGUGAAGGACGGUCUUGCUGUCACUUAUAGAUGGAUCCGCGCUGCAUUAGCUAGUUGGUAAGGUAACGGCUUACCAAGGCAACGAUGCAUAGCCGACCUGAGAGGGUGAUCGGCCACACUGGAACUGAGACACGGUCCAGACUCCUACGGGAGGCAGCAGUAGGGAAUCUUCCGCAAUGGGCGAAAGCCUGACGGAGCAACGCCGCGUGAGUGAUGAAGGUCUUCGGAUCGUAAAACUCUGUUAUUAGGGAAGAACAUAUGUGUAAGUGACUGUGCACAUCUUGACGGUACCUAAUCAGAAAGCCACGGCUAACUACGUG
rnacentral:rRNA from 1 species